rnacentral:rRNA from 1 species
UACGGAGGGGGCUAGCGUUGUUCGGAAUUACUGGGCGUAAAGCGCACGUAGGCGGCUUUGUAAGUUAGAGGUGAAAACCCGGGGCUCAACUCCGGAAUUGCCUUUAAGACUGCAUCGCUAGAAUUGUGGAGAGGUAAGUGGAAUUCCGAGUGUAGAGGUGAAAUUCGUAGAUAUUCGGAAGGAACAUCAGUGGCGAAAGCGGCUUCCUGGUCCAGCACCGACGUUCAGGCACGAAAGCGUGGGGAGCAAACAGG